rnacentral:rRNA from 1 species
UACGUUAUAUUCUUCGCCUCAAAUGGGACGCAUGCUUGAUGGCAGCAUGCGGCGUGUGUGAAGAAUGUCGUCGGAUAGUAAAAGCAUCUUCAGCGGGGAGGAAGGGCGGUGAAGGUUUAAUACCUUCAUCGAUUGACGUUACCCGCAGAAGAAGCACCGGCUAACUCCGUGCCAGCAGCCGCGGUAAUACGGAGGGUGCAAGCGUUAAUUGGAAUUACUGGGCGUAAAAGCGCACGCAGGCGGUCUGUCAAGUCGGAUGUGAAAUCCCCGGGCUCAACCUGGGAACUGCAUUCGAAACUGGCAGGCUAGAGUCUGUAGAGGGGGGGUAGAAUUCCAGGUGUAGCGGUGAAAUGCGUAGAGAUCUGGAGGAAUACCGGUGGCGAAGGCGGCCCCCUGGACAAAGACUGACGCUCAGGUGCGAAAGCGUGGGGAGCAAACAGGAUUAGAUACCCUGGUAGUCCACGCCGUAAACGAUGUCGAUUUGGAGGUUGUGCCCUUGAGGCGUGGCUUCCGGAGCUAACGCGUUAAAUCGACCGCCUGGGGAGUACGGCCGCAAGGUUAAAACUCAAAUGAAUUGACGGGGSCCCGCACAAGCGGUGGAGCAUGUGGUUUAAUUCGAUGCAACGCGAAGAACCUUACCUGGUCUUGACAUCCACAGAACUUUCCAGAGAUGGAUUGGUGCCUUCGGGAACUGUGAGACAGGUGCUGCAUGGCUGUCGUCAGCUCGUGUUGUGAAAUGUUGGGUUAAGUCCCGCAACGAGCGCAACCCUUAUCCUUUGUUGCCAGCGGUUAGGCCGGGAACUCAAAGGAGACUGCCAGUGAUAAACUGGAGGAAGGUGGGGAUGACGUCAAGUCAUCAUGCCCCUUACGACCAGGGCUACACACGUGCUACAAUGGCAUAUACAAAGAGAAGCGACCUCGCGAGAGCAAGCGGACCUCAUAAAGUAUGUCGUAGUCCGGAUUGGAGUCUGCAACUCGACUCCAUGAAGUCGGAAUCGCUAGUAAUCGUAGAUCAGAAUGCUACGGUGAAUACGUUCCCGGGCCUUGUACACACCGCCCGUCACACCAUGGGAGUGGGUUGCAAAAGAAGUAGGUAGCUUAACCUUCGGGAGGGCGCUUACGCAUCUU